rnacentral:rRNA from 1 species
UACAGAGGGAGCAAGCGUUAUUCGGAAUUAUUGGGCGUAAAGGGCGCGUAGGCGGCUUUGCAAGUGACAAGUGAAAGCCCUCGGCUUAACCGAGGAACUGCCUGUCAGACUGUGAGGCUUGAGACCGGGAGAGGUGAGUGGAAUUCCCAGUGUAGCGGUGAAAUGCGUAGAUAUUGGGAGGAACACCAGUGGCGAAGGCGGCUCACUGGACCGGAACUGACGCUGAGGCGCGAAAGCGUAGGGAGCAAACAGG